CCAAGGCUAAAUACUCCUGACUGACCGAUAGUGAACCAGUACCGUGAGGGAAAGGCGAAAAGAACCCCGGCGAGGGGAGUGAAAAAGAACCUGAAACCGUGUACGUACAAGCAGUGGGAGCACCUUCGGGUGUGACUGCGUACCUUUUGUAUAAUGGGUCAGCGACUUAUAUUCUGUAGCAAGGUUAACCGUAUAGGGGAGCCGCAGGGAAACCGAGUCUUAACUGGGCGUUAAGUUGCAGGGUAUAGACCCGAAACCCGGUGAUCUAGCCAUGGGCAGGUUGAAGGUUGGGUAACACUAACUGGAGGACCGAACCGACUAAUGUUGAAAAAUUAGCGGAUGACUUGUGGCUGGGGGUGAAAGGCCAAUCAAACCGGGAGAUAGCUGGUUCUCCCCGAAAGCUAUUUAGGUAGCGCCUCGUGAACUCAUCUUCGGGGGUAGAGCACUGUUUCGGCUAGGGGGUCAUCCCGACUUACCAACCCGAUGCAAACUACGAAUACCGAAGAAUGUUAUCACGGGAGACACACGGCGGGUGCUAACGUCCGUCGUGAAGAGGGAAACAACCCAGACCGCCAGCUAAGGUCCCAAAGUCAUGGUUAAGUGGGAAACGAUGUGGGAAGGCACAGACAGCCAGGAUGUUGGCUUAGAAGCAGCCAUCAUUUAAAGAAAGCGUAAUAGCUCACUGGUCGAGUCGGCCUGCGCGGAAGAUGUAACGGGGCUAAACCAUGCACCGAAGCUGCGGCAGCGACACUAUGUGUUGUUGGGUAGGGGAGCGUUCUGUAAGCCUGCGAAGGUGACCUGUGAGGGUUGCUGGAGGUAUCAGAAGUGCGAAUGCUGACAUAAGUAACGAUAAAGCGGGUGAAAAGCCCGCUCGCCGGAAGACCAAGGGUUCCUGUCCAACGUUAAUCGGGGCAGGGUGAGUCGACCCCUAAGGCGAGGCCGAAAGGCGUAGUCGAUGGGAAACAGGUUAAUAUUCCUGUACUUGGUGUUACUGCGAAGGGGGGACGGAGAAGGCUAUGUUAGCCGGGCGACGGUUGUC
rnacentral:rRNA from 1 species